rnacentral:lncRNA from 1 species
UUUUCCUUUAGUUGAUGUUCCUUUUAAUGGUGUACAAAGCACAACCUGUGCCUUGAGAGGGGAGAGCGGAAUUUCCGUACAGUGGAGAACAGCAGCCCCGUGGAGUAAGGAGCCGUAUAGUCUUGUCACUGGAUGCUCCGCACCUACCCAGCACAGUACAUGGCAAUAAGCACAUGCUCCAAAAAUAUGUCGAAUGAAUGAAUACAACUCUACUGUUGCGUCCCUGAUGAAAGGGUGCUCUUGAAGCCUCAUCUGGUUAAUGCCACCCUACAGACUGCCCACGUUGCCCUCAGGAAAAACAGAACCAGUGUACAUUCAGAUCUUGAGAGUGGUCAUCCGGAAUACAUACCCUAUGAAAAAGUAAAGAUAUUCAGGUUGAGUAAUGAUACACUCGGUUUGCAAAUAACACAUGUUCGUUUUCAUGUUGCUAAAGACUCCUUGCUAGGAAACGAAACACUUGUAAUUUAAUACGUAAUGCUCUCAGAGUCCGAAGCCAAACCACCUCAAGCUGUGAACGCCUUGGCUCGGAAGAGCCAGUCAGGGUCAGGGCAGGGCAGUACUUGGCCUGAUGCCCCUCCAGAAUAAACCAAAGAGCUACAGGAAGUGGUUUCCAUGAUUCAGUAGGUGGCACACUUCCUUUUGAGUCACAACUGAAUCACAGCUGCGAGAGGCGAAAAAGACCUAUGUCUUUAUCCCAUACUUGUCCCCUAUUCCCAAUAGUAAAUUUAUCGUAGUCUGUCAUAUGAUAUAUCCUGUUUACUUUAAUGUGUUUAACCAAAAAAGAAAGGAAAAAUAGCAAAUCAACAAUGACAAAGCAAGAAGGGAGUGGGAAACAUGGCAGAUUGAAAUGAAUCAAAGCAACGUUUCAUCAGAGGGCCGUGUUCUCCGAGGAGGUUGAAAGUAAAGCCAUAGUCUAAUUUCACUGGGGUCAUUAAGGCCCUUGGUUCUCUUGACUAGAAUCUGACCCAUUUCCAGUGGAAGCAAUUAGAUCACGGUUACAUAAACCGUGUUGCUUUAAAUGGCCCUGCUCUCCGUUUCACUCACUGACCCUGGCUUACUCCCCGGCAUGUCUGCUGGAAAGCUGUUCUCGGUGCUGUCCCAAGCGUGGCCCUCGUUCAGCUGUGGGUGAAAUGAUCCUGUUCUGAAUGUACUGAAUGCUGCUGGCAAUGCUGUAAAUUGUUUCAGGCUUAAGGAAAAACCCCACAGAUAUCAACAAGUCAUAAAAACAGGCAUAUUUUCCCCUCAUCUUUUUCCCAGCGUGUCUUUUAUUUUUCAAUAUUAAAAGUUCUGGGAAUGUGAACAUAUUUAUCCCUAUUUUCAUCGGAUGAAUCAGAUUUUACUAUGUGUUUGUUGCUUCCUUCUACUCCAAUUUGUUCCUGUUGGUUUCAUGUUUCAGAACAAAGCUUCAGAAACUCGUGCUGUAUGUCCUGUGUUUAUAUCACUCUUGGAAGACUCAUAAUCAGACUGAAAUCAGAACUCUUAUUGCCAAGUUAAUAUUCCACAGUGCCUUCUCUGCGCUAUUGCAAUAUUUAAAGAACACAAAAUUCAAAUUCACGUAGACCUGUGUUCAGAUUCAAGCUUGAGGAAAAAUUAUAGAGCUGUCUGUCUUUGGAUAAGUCUCCCAACCUCUUGGAGCCAUAAUUUACUCAGACUAUAAAAACGGGAUUCUAACCUAAGGAUAAUGUGAGAACUAAAUAAAGCUUUUAUAUGGUGCCUAAGACAGCACCUAGCUCAUAUUUAAUUUUUAAAAUAAGCUAGUACCCUUCUCUGUAUUUACAAUACCUUUCCAUCAGGAGGAAAGAACAGCACUGGGACAUGGUAACUCCGUGGGCAUGCUGUCUUGUCCUUCCCAAAGACGUCAGACCAACUCCUGUAGCACUUUCAUCAGCAGCACCUGCAGCACGUCAGACCAAAUGGCAUCCUUAGUGGAGUGGUGGAGAAGCCCAGCCAGGAAGCAGCCUUUAAAGCCCAAGCCAGCUCUUCUGGACAGGGCAGUUGUGGCUGAUAGAUGACAGCCAAAUAUGAAAGGAGUCCUCAUCUGACACACUAAGAGAGCACCUACAGGAUGGGCAGCGAAGAGAACCACCAACGGCCCUCACAGCCAGACAGAGCGGCCGUGAGGGCACAAGUCAAACAAGGUGACGGCUGGCAGACAGAUGGAACGGUGAACACACUGUUAGAUUCGAAAAGCCCUUCUAAAACAUCCAUCCUCCCAUAUCCCUUUGAUGCCUCCUACGUCCCUUCAAUUCUUCCUAGAUGGUCAUACACAGAGCAUGAUGGCUUUUUGAGAAGGGUAGUGGUACCCCGCCCCCCAAAAAAAUUAAGGUCCAGAACAUCAUCUUGUACUUACCUGUCUUAGAACCAUCACUUCGUAUAUCGUGGUUGCCUGGUUACGUGACUGUCUCUUCCACUGGACUGUGAGCCGCCAAAGGCAAGGAAUGUGUCUUGUUUAUCCUUUAACCAACUCUUACCUGUAGCUCAGUGCCGAACCCACAACAGGUGCUCCACCACUGUUUGCUGGCAUGAAAGAAAUACAAGAGUCAAGUCAGAAAGACCGUGGGAAAACUUGAAACAGGAAUUGGUGACCUCUGGGGCCAAGGUCCCAUAGGAGGACUGGCUGGAUAGUCUCAUUUCUAGUAAAAGAGCCAGAGACACUCUGCUCCCGGGAAGAUGGAGUGACUUAUUGGAUUGAUAAGUGUGGGAUGGAAAACCAGCUGUGGCCCCUCACCCCCUUAGGAGUGAGCCAGCCAGCAGAAAGCAGGUGCUCUCCUCUGCUCUGCCAUCAGGCGGUGUUAUUGAAACCAGUCUAGUCUCACCAGUACAGACUCAGCAACCGGGGCAGUAACUCGUCCCUCUACCAGAAGGAUUCCUGUUUGCUCCAAGAAUCAGCCAGGCUUUCACAAGCAAACAGCAAGACAGGUUAGCAGAUCUCUGGAUCCGUCUGGGACCCUCUCUAUCUUUCUGGAAUGGUUUCCACACCUGAUUAGAAAGUUGUGAAUAAUAUGCUUCAGAAAAAUGUAUAUACAUAGAUCUGGAACUGAGGGAAUCCUUGUUUAAAAUAUGGAAAAACAGAUGAAAUAUCGCAAACAGCCUCUUCCUGUGAGCCUCGUCUUGUGAUCACACCACACAGCUGCUUCACACUGGUGCUCGCUCGCCUCAUGGAAGAGAUGACUCAGCUUCUGUUGCAUUUUAAACAUGUCUGG